AAAAUAAGAGAUAAAAACACAGUUCCGUUGGUAGUCGGAACCUAUAUGUCGUUUUUAAUAUAUAGUUAAAAAUGAUAAAGUAGCAGUAACCUGCCCUCCUGGGUUGUCCAUUCUCUUAAAGGUUAAU
rnacentral:ncRNA from 1 species